AGUGAACGCUGGCGGUAGGCCUAACACAUGCAAGUCGAACGGCAGCACAGUAAGAGCUUGCUCUUACGGGUGGCGAGUGGCGGACGUGUGAGGAAUACAUCGGAAUCUACUUUUUCGUGGGGGAUAACGUAGGGAAACUUACGCUAAUACCGCAUACGACCUACGGGUGAAAGCAGGGGAUAUUCGGACCUUGCGCGAUUGAAUGAGCCGAUGUCGGAUUAGCUAGUUGGCGGGGUAAAGGCCCACCAAGGCGACGAUCCGUAGCUGGUCUGAGAGGAUGAUCGGCCACCUUGGAACGUAGACACGGACCAGACUCCUACGGGAGGCAGCAGAGGGGAAUAUUGGGCAAUGGGCGCAAGCCUGAUCCAGCCGUACCGCGUGGGUGAAGAAGGCCUUCGGGUUGUAAAGCCCUUUUGUUGGGAAAAAAAAGCAGCAGGUUAAUACCCCGCUGUUCUGACGGUACCCAAAGAAUAAGCACCGGCUAACUUCGUG
rnacentral:rRNA from 1 species